GACGAACGCUGGCGGCGUGCCUAAUACAUGCAAGUAGAACGCUGAAGAGAGGAGCUUGCUCUUCUUGGAUGAGUUGCGAACGGGUGAGUAACGCGUAGGUAACCUGCCUGGUAGCGGGGGAUAACUAUUGGAAACGAUAGCUAAUACCGCAUAAUAGUAGAUGUUGCAUGACAUUUGCUUAAAAGGUGCAAAUGCAUCACUACCAGAUGGACCUGCGUUGUAUUAGCUAGUUGGUGAGGUAACGGCUCACCAAGGCAACGAUACAUAGCCGACCUGAGAGGGUGAUCGGCCACACUGGGACUGAGACACGGCCCAGACUCCUACGGGAGGCAGCAGUAGGGAAUCUUCGGCAAUGGACGGAAGUCUGACCGAGCAACGCCGCGUGAGUGAAGAAGGUUUUCGGAUCGUAAAGCUCUGUUGUAAGAGAAGAACGAGUGUGAGAGUGGAAAGUUCACACUGUGACGGUAUCUUACCAGAAAGGGACGGCUAACUACGUGCCAGCAGCCGCGGUAAUACGUAGGUCCCGAGCGUUGUCCGGAUUUAUUGGGCGUAAAGCGAGCGCAGGCGGUUAGAUAAGUCUGAAGUUAAAGGCUGUGGCUUAACCAUAGUACGCUUUGGAAACUGUUUAACUUGAGUGCAAGAGGGGAGAGUGGAAUUCCAUGUGUAGCGGUGAAAUGCGUAGAUAUAUGGAGGAACACCGGUGGCGAAAGCGGCUCUCUGGCUUGUAACUGACGCUGAGGCUCGAAAGCGUGGGGAGCAAACAGG
rnacentral:rRNA from 1 species